GACGAGGGAUCCUAGCGUUGUUCGGAAUCAUUGGGCGUAAAGCGUAUGUAGGCGGCCUUGUAAGUCAGGUGUGAAAGCCCCGGGCUCAACCCGGGAAGUGCAUCUGAUACUGCUUGGCUUGAGUACUGGAGAGGAUAGUGGAAUUCCAGGUGUAGUGGUGAAAUACGUAGAUAUCUGGAGGAACACUGGUGGCGAAGGCGGCUAUCUGGCCAUGUACUGACGCUGAGAUACGAAAGCGUGGGGAGCAAACAGGAUUAGAAACCCCCGUAGUCC
rnacentral:rRNA from 1 species